UUGCACGAUCUCCCGGGCUUCUCUGACUGGUUUUGAUUGAAGAAGAACGCCCCAAUGUUCGUGCUAGAUCGCGACGCCGUUCAGUGUUGCAGUUUAGCCUUUGUACCUUUCUGUUCCAUGGCUGAAUUUGUGUCAAUUUGACGGCUACAUUC